UACGAAGGGGGCUAGCGUUGUUCGGAAUUACUGGGCGUAAAGCGCACGUAGGCGGACAUUUAAGUCAGGGGUGAAAUCCCGGGGCUCAACCCCGGAACUGCCUUUGAUACUGGGUGUCUUGAGUAUGGAAGAGGUGAGUGGAAUUCCGAGUGUAGAGGUGAAAUUCGUAGAUAUUCGGAAGAACACCAGUGGCGAAGGCGGCUCACUGGUCCAUUACUGACGCUGAGGUGCGAAAGCGUGGGGAGCAAACAGG
rnacentral:rRNA from 1 species